rnacentral:rRNA from 1 species
UCGAGAAUUUUUCUCAAUGGGGGAAACCCUGAAGGAGCGACGCCGCGUGGAGGAUGAAGGUCUUCGGGUUGUAAACUCCUGUCAUUUGGGAACAAGGCCCCGGAUUUAACUGAUUCGGGGUUGAUAGUACCAGAAGAGGAAGAGACGGCUAACUCUGUGCCAGCAGCCGCGGUAAUACAGAGGUCUCAAGCGUUGUUCGGAUUCAUUGGGCGUAAAGGGUGCGUAGGUGGCGUGGUAAGUCGGGUGUGAAAUUUCGGAGCUUAACUCCGAAACUGCAUUCGAUACUGCCGUGCUUGAGGACUGGAGAGGAGACUGGAAUUCAUGGUGUAGCAGUGAAAUGCGUAGAGAUCAUGAGGAAGACCAGUGGCGAAGGCGGGUCUCUGGACAGUUCCUGACACUGAGGCACGAAGGCCAGGGGAGCAAACGG